rnacentral:rRNA from 1 species
GUAACCUGCCCUUAACUCUGGGAUAAGCCUUGGAAACGGGGUCUAAUACUGGAUAUUGACUUUUCCUCGCAUGGGGUUUGGUUGAAAGAUUUAUUGGUUUUGGAUGGACUCGCGGCCUAUCAGCUUGUUGGUGAGGUAAUGGCUCACCAAGGCGACGACGGGUAGCCGGCCUGAGAGGGUGACCGGCCACACUGGGACUGAGACACGGCCCAGACUCCUACGGGAGGCAGCAGUGGGGAAUAUUGCACAAUGGGCGAAAGCCUGAUGCAGCGACGCCGCGUGAGGGAUGACGGCCUUCGGGUUGUAAACCUCUUUCAGUAGGGAACAAGGCCAGCAUUUUUGUUGGUUGAGGGUACUUGCAGAAGAAGCGCCGGCUAACUACGUGCCAGCAGCCGCGGUAAUACGUAGGGCGCAAGCGUUAUCCGGAAUUAUUGGGCGUAAAGAGCUCGUAGGCGGUUUGUCGCGUCUGCCGUGAAAGUCCGGGGCUCAACCCCGGAUCUGCGGUGGGUACGGGCAGACUAGAGUGAUGUAGGGGAGACUGGAAUUCCUGGUGUAGCGGUGAAAUGCGCAGAUAUCAGGAGGAACACCGAUGGCGAAGGCAGGUCUCUGGGCAUUAACUGACGCUGAGGAGCGAAAGCAUGGGGAGCGAACAGGAUUAGAUACCCUGGUAGUCCAUGCCGUAAACGUUGGGCACUAGGUGUGGGGGACAUUCCACGUUUUCCGCGCCGUAGCUAACGCAUUAAGUGCCCCGCCUGGGGAGUACGGCCGCAAGGCUAAAACUCAAAGGAAUUGACGGGGGCCCGCACAAGCGGCGGAGCAUGCGGAUUAAUUCGAUGCAACGCGAAGAACCUUACCAAGGCUUGACAUGAACUGGAAACACCUGGAAACAGGUGCCCCGCUUGCGGUCGGUUUACAGGUGGUGCAUGGUUGUCGUCAGCUCGUGUCGUGAGAUGUUGGGUUAAGUCCCGCAACGAGCGCAACCCUCGUUCUAUGUUGCCAGCACGUGAUGGUGGGGACUCAUAGGAGACUGCCGGGGUCAACUCGGAGGAAGGUGAGGACGACGUCAAAUCAUCAUGCCCCUUAUGUCUUGGGCUUCACGCAUGCUACAAUGGCCGGUACAAUGGGUUGCGAUACUGUGAGGUGGAGCUAAUCCCAAAAAGCCGGUCUCAGUUCGGAUUGGGGUCUGCAACUCGACCCCAUGAAGUCGGAGUCGCUAGUAAUCGCAGAUCAGCAACGCUGCGGUGAAUACGUUCCCGGGCCUUGUACAC